UUUGAAAUAAGAGAAAAGAAGAGAGAGAUGAAAACUUCCUUCAGAAUUUUAAAAUGGUGCUCAGUAUGCAACAAGGGGUGUGAGCUGUCAGAGACAGAGGGUGACUUUGCCAGAUCUGGAGGGUGAAAUCUAAGGAAGAGAAACUCUACUCCUAAUGACAUAAGAACUAUUGAGCUUUAAUACCCAGAACUACAAUCAGGUUCCGGAGUGAGGAGACAGACUUGGUCAAGCUGCUACCAAGGCAAGAUUUGGAAAAAAAAAAGAAAAGAAAAGAAAAAAAACUGCAAAUGAAAUAAACCUCUCAUCCUGAGUCCCCAUGAAAAGAACAACCACCCAGUGACCAGGAAUAUUCACUUCGACCAAAAAGAACUUGUGAAAGUUGUCAGAGUCAAAAUGGAGCCACUUGUGUUAAAGACUGUGCCAAGUGGCAUCGAGGAUGGCCGUGAACGGAGGGUUCUUAUGCACAAAUGCCUGACGGCAACGACUAUCACAAAAGACUCCGCAAAAACCACAACCUUGUGAAAGAAAGGCCCACCACAACCUUACUACACACAAAAAAACUUCUGCAAGGACAUCUGCACAGCAACUUCCUGUCUAACCUUGGACCGGCACCACCCUUGUUAUGGAUCCUUAUAGCUAACAAUAAUUAUCACAAAACAAUUUUAUAAUCUUCUUCAUUUUUCCUUUAAAAAUAUUUGUCUUCCUUUACCUACCUGAGCUGAGCAUGCAUGUAGUUUGCUAUGGUAUGUAUAUUGCUGUUACAAUGCCCAUUUUUGAAUAAAUAUCCUUUUCUUUCAGAGAGCCUCUCUCUGUUUUCUAAUGUGACAAACUCAAUUCUUAAGCUAAAGCUUAAGGAAGUAUUUUACAGCUUCCUCAAACAGUCAUCGGUUCUGUUAAAUAUUCUGACUUCCAGGUCCAGUGCAGACAUG
rnacentral:lncRNA from 10 species